GCAGUCGAACGGACUCAUAUUGAAACCUAGUGAUUUAUGAGUUAGUGGCGGACGGGUGAGUAACGCGUGGAUAACCUGCCGUAUACCGGGGGAUAACACUUGGAAAUAGGUGCUAAUACCGCAUAAGCGCACGGCUCCGCAUGGGGCAGUGUGAAAAACUCCGGUGGUAUACGAUGGAUCCGCGUCUGAUUAGCUAGUUGGCGGGGUAACGGCCCACCAAGGCAGCGAUCAGUAGCCGGCCUGAGAGGGUGGACGGCCACAUUGGGACUGAGACACGGCCCAAACUCCUACGGGAGGCAGCAGUGGGGAAUAUUGCACAAUGGGGGAAACCCUGAUGCAGCGACGCCGCGUGAGUGAAGAAGUAUCUCGGUACGUAAAGCUCUAUCAGCAGGGAAGAAAAUGACGGUACCUGACUAAGAAGCCCCGGCUAACUACGUGCCAGCAGCCGCGGUAAUACGUAGGGGGCAAGCGUUAUCCGGAUUUACUGGGUGUAAAGGGAGCGUAGACGGCAGCACAAGUCUGGAGUGAAAUCCCGGGGCUUAACCCCGGAACUGCUUUGGAAACUGUGCGGCUGGAGUGCAGGAGGGGUAAGCGGAAUUCCUAGUGUAGCGGUGAAAUGCGUAGAUAUUAGGAGGAACACCGGUGGCGAAGGCGGCUUACUGGACUGUAACUGACGUUGAGGCUCGAAAGCGUGGGGAGCAAACAGGAUUAGAUACCCUGGUAGUCCACGCCGUAAACGAUGAUUACUAGGUGUCGGGGGAUCAAGGUCCUCCGGUGCCGGCGCAAACGCAUUA
rnacentral:rRNA from 1 species